GGGAGGAGAUGAUGAAUCUAUCACCGUAAUCGAAUCAGAUUUUCAAAAAAAAUCGAGCAAGUUAAAUUAAACCAUUUGAUAUUUCUGUUACAAACUUAAUAUUAUUACUUAUAUUUUGUUAUUAGCAUUAACCUUGAAAAAAACCAUUAUAAAUUAGUUUUGAAAAAAUGUCGAGUGGAUGUUAAGAAGUUAUUGUAUUUUCAGGUCAUUGAUGCGAGAUAUACCCCAAUCUCACUGCAGGUGUUACUAAUUUUGAAUUCUACAUUCGUGAAAAAACCGUAUCAUACGAUUGCCGAUAAGAAAACAGUGACGAGCAAAUUGACGUUUUUGUCGCGUAAUUAGAAUAUUAUACUAUGCCGUUGUAUACAUAUAUAAUCCAAUGUCUCUCGUAUAACCGAUCAAAGUAGUACUUUAUCAUGGUACCGACU